AUGACUUUUAAAUCUGUGUUGGACAGAUUCUUGUUUCAUGUGCAGGAGGUUUUUGUACGGCCUCUUAAUGAGUUUGUAUCACUCUGGUUGACUUUUGGUGGAGGAACCAAACUCAUCGUUGACUUGGGUGUGGUGCAGCCCAGCCUGACCGUCCUCCCCCCCUCCAGAGGGGAGCUGCUGCAGGGCAAAGCCACACUGCUGUGUCUGGCCAACGGGGGCUCCCCCUCAGCCUGGAGGCUGGGCUGGAAGGUGGGGGGCAGCAGCAGCUCCUCAGGGGUGUCAGACAGCCUGGAGGUCCUGGGGAGGGACGGCCACUACAGCUGGAGCAGCACCCUGAGCCUCUCUGCAGACCAGUGGAGGAAGGCGGGCUCCGUGAGCUGUGAGGCCAGUCUGGAUGGCCAGAGCCCUGUCACUCAAACCCUGGACCCUGACCGCUGCUCCCAGUAGAGCUUCAGCAACGCUUAUUAUCCAAAUGCUGCUUCUUUGCUUCAACUGACUUCACUCAGCUUCAGUGUGUGAAUGUCACUUUUACACAUUCGAACAAAAUUA